rfam:Felis catus isolate Cinnamon breed Abyssinian chromosome A1, whole genome shotgun sequence.
ACUUGGCUGGCUCAGUUGGCAGAGCAUAUGACUCUUGAUCUUGGUGUUGUGAGUUCAAGCCCCACAUUGGGUG